rnacentral:rRNA from 1 species
GGAGGGGCAGCAGCAGUGGCCACGACGGGACCGCGCCGCGCAGCGGGAGGGGGAGGGGGCGGGAGGGGACGCGAGGUAGAGCGGACCGAUGGGGGGACGGGGACCGACCGGCCGCAGGAGGGCCGACGUCCCGGAACAGGGCCGGCACGGAGGAGAGACCAACCGGCGCCACCCCGAGAGGUUCCCUUACGUCACCGCGGACGUACUCCGCAUCGUCUACAUGCACCUACGCACCUUUCGGUUGUAGGGUCUUAAGUUCUUAGGGAAACGAGGUAACUCCUGUGGUAGUGUCUAAGGUGUGUCCUACAAGAUUUUGUACAAGCAGAAUGGACUUUCUCGUGACGAUACGUGUGCUCAUAGCUGCAUGCUAGGUGUCUACUGUUCAGUCGCCUAGGCAAGCGGCGGCGACUAGAGUAGCGAUGCAGCUGCUGUUGGUAAACUGCGGCGGCUUGGGGAAUGGUAGCUCACAGAGGAGGUAAUACUCACGUUCGUUGUCCUCCACAGGAGAACCGUGUUGCUGCACCAGUUGACCAGUGAGGAAGUAGCUGUCCAAGAACGCGAGCCACCUAAUGAAGGUGCCAAGGUGUCACCCUCCUGUGUGAGUUCGAUGACAAGUCCGUUGCAGAGGUGGGUGAGCGUUCAAGUUGAUGUAACCGACUCACGUUCGUCCUAGACAUCAUUAUGACUCAUGAAUGUUUACGUGUUUCGAGACAGAUGCAGACGUGUUCGUUUUCUUCCAGCAACGCCACCAGCCGAUGGUCCUCAUAGAACAAACCGGAACAUGGUACAGCCUAACAGUGAUAAAAAUUUUAGAUGAAUACUGAUAAAACAUUUCCUGUUUAACUGUCUAAACCGUUUUUUACCCGCAUAAACCUCGGCCUACCUUUCUAACCGUCUAAACCUCGUCCCACUGCUACCUCGUCGGAAAACAGUGUUAUUGUUUUCUCGACUUCACCUUCCCGAGUACCUUCUUCUCUACCUUACUGUUACUACGUUGGAACUGCACACCGACAACAUACAUAAACUCCAUGCAUCCUUUUCUUGAGAAUUACUCCAUUUCACUACCCCUGAGUAGAUUCCGCCUCUACCGUUGACUCGGGUCUCCGUUUGUACCGUAACAAGUAUCAGUCAAACACUUACUUGUACACCACCUUUCUUACAAAGGUACAGGUAUACGGAGGAAAAGAAUAAUAAGCAUGAUUCCACUCCACGGAAUAUAGAGUAGUCAACAGCUAUACCUCAAGGGGUACCACAGGAUAAACCUCGAGAUAAAUACUAGUAGAGUAUUAAGUCGUAGUCGGAAUGUAAAUAGGAAGGUUAGAAUUUCUAGAUACCUUUGGAUUGUUAUUUCGAACCUUACUUUUAGAAUAAAUGAGAGACAAACUACGACUCCGUCGUUCGUAAUAAGAGGUUUGGGGGUAUUAAGUUUGCCUCCCAUUUCUAUAGUACACAACCUUUGUGUGGGGUUGUCCAAACCUUUCUGUUAUCGUAACGAGGCUCUUAAGUCUGCAAACGAACCUCCGAAGAACUCUCUCGUCAAGGUUGUCCGUACGCCCGACUUCCGCCCUUUACUGUUUGUAAAACCUUCUUUUAUCCCUGUAGGUUGAGUCCACGUAGUUCGACGAGUUCGAUAUUACUUUCCCAAAGUCCAUCUCAGGUUUCAAUGUCCAAAAUAGCCAGGUGGGAAGACUGUCUAUUAGUCCAUGAACGUUCUCGAUGUUUACGAUCGCUUAAAGUUUGGGCCCUGUAACACUUUAGGUAAGUGUCUAUCGUCUUAUGAAGUAACAAAGGUUCAGAGAAUACAAUUUCUAUAUAGUGUAGUUUUCUCUAAACUUACCACAACGAGUAUGGACACGUUUCCUGAGUGACUUUUUCGAAACAUAAUCGAUGGUGUAUGAUAUAAUCGAGUAUGACAUGACAUAGGGGAUGGUGUAUGACAUAAUCGAGUUGACUAUCCUCAUAGGUCACAGGUCACAACGAGCGAAACUCGUUGAAACAUUAGAUACCUAAAGCAUAGGAACUACAUUCUACACAUACUUUCUAGUUACUUAUCGCGGGAGCCCGCGAGGAAGACAAUUUUUUUUUUAACGUACCGCAUACAUCAUCUUACUCUGUUGUUUUGUUACCGUAUCUUCGGUGUACUUCUCAGUUCC